UGUAUGUUUCUUUUCUUUUGGUUGCAGGUUCGUGAUUAUCUAUCAAGAGAGUUGUCAUUAAAGAAACCUAGUUCCACAGGUAACAGGCACACUAGUGAAGAAGCGUCUUCAAGUCGACUAGGUGACUGGCAAAGGAAGUGGAAGAGAAAUGUCUACAACAUGUUUACUCCCAGCACAGCUACAACUACAUCAUCAAACCACUUCAGUAGCUCAGAUACAUGAACUUCAUUAGAAUCAUAUGCAUUUCCUCUUCUGCCAUCUGUGUGUCAUCCAAAUAUUCUGUAAUGCAUAUAUGUAACUGCAGUAUAAUUGUUACAAUUAUUAGAGCUUUUGUUUUAUGUACUUUUACGCACAUGAUAAUUCAAUGAUGAU